rnacentral:rRNA from 1 species
GGGCCCGCACAAGCGGUGGAGUAUGUGGUUUAAUUCGAUGCAACGCGAAGAACCUUACCAGGGCUUGACAUCCUGCGAAUCUCUGGGAAACCGGAGAGUGCCUUCGGGAACGCAGUGACAGGUGGUGCAUGGCUGUCGUCAGCUCGUGUCGUGAGAUGUUGGGUUAAGUCCCGCAACGAGCGCAACCCACGUCUUUAGUUGCCAGCAUUUAGUUGGGCACUCUAGAGAGACCGCCGGUGACAAACCGGAGGAAGUGUGGAUGACGUCAAGUCAUCAUGCCCCUUAUGUCCAGGGCUGCACGCAUGCUACAAUGGCAAGUACAACGAGUCGCAAUACCGCGAGGUGGAGCAAAUCCCAUAAACCGUGGCUC